GAUGAAGAACGUAGCGAAAUGCGAUACUUGGUGUGAAUUGCAGAAUCCCGUGAACCAUCGAGUCUUUGAACGCAAGUUGCGCCCGAAGCCAUCAGGUUGAGGGCACGUCUGCCUGGGCGUCACAUAUCGUUGCUCGAUGCCUAUCGCAUUGCGAUAGGACUUAGGGCGAAUGAUGGCUUCCCGUGAGCGUUGUUGCCUCGCGGUUGGUUGAAAAUCGAGUCCUUGGUAGGGUGUGCCAUGAUAGAUGGUGGUCGAGUGACGAACGAGACCCAAUCAUGUGAGACCCCUACCGAAUUUGGCCUUCAUGACCCACAUGCGUCUUUGGAACGCUCAUGACGAGACCUCAGGUCAGGCGGGGCUACCCGCUGAGUUUAAGCAUAUCAAUAAGCGGAGGA
rnacentral:misc_RNA from 1 species